GUCAAAAUAAACAAACAAGAGGGAGCCUUCACAAAGGUUGCUUAGGAGAAGUCUCAGCAGUCGGUAGAGCCCCAGAAAGAGAAGGCACCGGAGGGGAUCAUUCGGAGCCUCAGUACUGGACAGAACCCUAGAAGGAGGAGGCAUCAGAGGUUGAUCAUUUGGAGCUUCAUUACGCGGUACAGCCCCAGAAGACGAAGGCAAUAAAUGCCUUUGGAACAAACCCA
rnacentral:lncRNA from 1 species